rnacentral:tRNA from 1 species
CGGGGCGUGGCUCAGUGGUUCAGAGCAUCCGGUUUGGGACCGGAGGGCCGGUGGUUCGAAUCCACUCGCCCCGA